rnacentral:tRNA from 1 species
GGGGAGGUGCCGGAGUGGCCGAACGGGAUCGCCUGCUAAGUGAUUGUCGGGUUAACCUCGACCGAGAGUUCGAAUCUCUCCCUCCCCGCCU